UUUCAGUUGCUCACCACGUAUUUUUUGUUGUACGGUACAAGUAAUAACGUCUAUUGAGUCAAGUGAAAGUUAGUGCCUAAACCUGUACCUGUAAGCACUAAGCCCUAAGUGGGAUAUGUCUGCAUUUCACUUGCCGUUAAGUUCGAUAAAAGGAAGAUUCCGUACUUAAAUAAUGAAACAUUCAAGAUAAUUUAUUGAAGAGCCAGAAACGAAUGCGGAAAUACACCCCCGCCUUUGUUCUCAUUUUACAUCCAACAUCCCGGCCCGAUUUACCUUCAUUUGCACCCUUUCUUUCGUCUCGCUCACUCCUAUGCGAUAUUGUAUUGCUGUCUGGCUCUGGUACUAAAAUGGCGGAUGCUGUGAGAAUGCGGAGUUCCGAGGGGUGGCCGAGGGUGACUGCAGGGGUGAAGUUUGAAACUUUCAAGCGAGCGAACUUUGGGAAAUUCUUAAUGGAUGUAAUCAAUAAUGUGGAUUUGCUUUUAUUCUGUUCAUAAAAGCUGUUUUAAUCUGUGAAGCAGAAAUUAAAUAAACAUUUACUUUAUUAUGAAGGAAAAAAAUUAAAUGUAACCUGAGCUGAAAAGAGUGGAUUUCGAAUAGGCUAAAUGUAUAAAAUUAUCUAGUUUAGUUUGUUUUCAUGACUGUUCUUUAAUAUUCAACCCACGCUGUAGUAGUAUUUUUACAUAGAGACGUUUUCUGUGCAUUAUUAUAAAAAAUUGAACAUUUAUUUUUACAAAUUGAUUCCUA